AGAGUUUGAUCCUGGCUCAGGACGAACGCUGGCGGUGUGCUUCACACAUGCAAGUCGAGCGAAUGAAGAAGGUAGCUUGCUACUUUUGGAUUUAGCGGCGGACGGGUGAGUAAUAUAUAGGAAUCUGCCCUAGAGCGGGGAACAACAGACCGAAAGGUUUGCUAAUGCCCCAUAGGUACGCAGUCUUCGGAUUGUUUAUUAAAGGAGUAAUCCACUCUAGGAUGAGCCUGUAUCCGAUUAGCUAGUUGGCGGGGUAAAGGCCCACCAAGGCUACGGUCGGUAGUUGGUCUGAGAGGAUGAUCAGCCACAAUGGGACUGAGACACGGCCCAUACUCCUACGGGAGGCAGCAGUGGGGAAUUUUACACAAUGGGGGAAACCCUGAUGUAGCGACACCGCGUGAACGAAGAAGCCUUUUGGGGUGUAAAGUUCUGUCGGCUGGAACGAAAAAAAUGACGGUACCAGCAAAGGAAGCAUCGGCUAACUACGUGCCAGCAGCCGCGGUAAGACGUAGGAUGCAAGCGUUGUCCGGAUUUAUUGGGCGUAAAGAGUUCGUAGGCGGUUAUUUAAGUCUGGUGUUAAAUACUGUGGCCCAACCACAGAACUGCAUUGGAUACUGGAUGACUUGAGUGCGGUAGAGGCGAGUGGAAUUCCCAGUGUAGCGGUGAAAUGCGUAGA
rnacentral:rRNA from 1 species